GCGCAGCAGUCGAGAAUUUUUCUCAAUGGGGGCAACCCUGAAGGAGCGACGCCGCGUGGAGGAUGAAGGCUUUCGGGUUGUAAACUCCUGUCAUUUGAGAACAAGUGGCCGAACCUAACUACUUCGGCCUUGAUAGUAUCAGAAGAGGAAGGGACGGCUAACUCUGUGCCAGCAGCCGCGGUAAUACAGAGGUCCCAAGCGUUGUUCGGAUUCAUUGGGCGUAAAGGGUGCGUAGGUGGCGCCGUCAGUGGGGUGUGAAAUUUCGGAGCUUAACUCCGAAACUGCAUUCCAUACUGCGGUGCUUGAGGACUGGAGAGGAGACUGGAAUUUACGGUGUAGCAGUGAAAUGCGUAGAGAUCGUAAGGAAGACCAGUGGCGAAGGCGGGUCCCUGGACAGUUCCUGACACUGAGGCACGAAGGCCAGGGGAGCAAACGGGAUUAGAUACCCCUGUAGU
rnacentral:rRNA from 1 species